AGUGAACGCUGGCGGUAGGCCUAACACAUGCAAGUCGAACGGCAGCACAGUAAGCUCUUGCUCUUACGGGUGGCGAGUGGCGGACGGGUGACGAAUACAUCGGAAUCUACUUUUUCGUGGGGGAUAACGUAGGGAAACUUACGCUAAUACCGCAUACGACCUACGGGUGAAAGCAGGGGAUCUUCGGACCUUUCGCGAUUGAAUGAGCCGAUGUCGGAUUAGCUAGUUGGCGGGGUAAAGGCCCACCAAGGCGACGAUCCGUAGCUGAUCUGAGAGGAUGAUCAGCCACACUGGAACUGAGACACGGUCCAGACUCCUACGGGAGGCAGCAGUGGGGAAUAUUGGACAAUGGGCGAAAGCCUGACGCAGCCAUACCGCGUGGGUGAAGAAGGCCUUCGGGUUGUAAAGCCCUUUUGUUGGGAAAGAAAAGCAGCAGGUUAAUACCCGGCUGUUCUGACGGUACCCAAAGAAUAAGCACCGGCUAACUUCGUG
rnacentral:rRNA from 1 species